UACGGGGGGGGCAAGCGUUGUUCGGAAUUACUGGGCGUAAAGGGCUCGUAGGCGGCCAACUAAGUCGGAUGUGAAAUCCCCAAGCUUAACUUGGGAACUGCAUCCGAUACUGGAUGGCUUGAAUCCGGGAGAGGGAUGCAGAAUUCCAGGUGUAGCGGUGAAAUGCGCAGAUAUCAGGAAGAACACCAAUGGCGAAGGCAGCUCUCUGGGACGGUACUGACGCUGAGACGCGAAAGCGUGGGGAGCGAACAGG
rnacentral:rRNA from 1 species